rnacentral:tRNA from 1 species
AAUAAAAUGCCUGAUUAAAAGGAUUAUCUUGAUAGGAUAAAUUAUGUAGUAUUUAUUACACUUUUAUUA